rnacentral:rRNA from 1 species
AUUGAACGCUGGCGGCAGGCUUAACACAUGCAAGUCGAGCGGAGAUGAGGUGCUUGCACCUUAUCUUAGCGGCGGACGGGUGAGUAAUGCUUAGGAAUCUGCCUAUUAGUGGGGGACAACAUCCCGAAAGGAAUGCUAAUACCGCAUACGUCCUACGGGAGAAAGCAGGGGAUCUUCGGACCUUGCGCUAAUAGAUGAGCCUAAGUCGGAUUAGCUAGUUGGUGGGGUAAAGGCCUACCAAGGCGACGAUCUGUAGCGGGUCUGAGAGGAUGAUCCGCCACACUGGGACUGAGACACGGCCCAGACUCCUACGGGAGGCAGCAGUGGGGAAUAUUGGACAAUGGGGGGAACCCUGAUCCAGCCAUGCCGCGUGUGUGAAGAAGGCCUUAUGGUUGUAAAGCACUUUAAGCGAGGAGGAGGCUACUGAGACUAAUACUCUUGGAUAGUGGACGUUACUCGCAGAAUAAGCACCGGCUAACUCUGUGCCAGCAGCCGCCGUAAUAC